GCAUUGCUGACGAGUCCCAAACUAGGACGAAACGGCCAUCCAGUAC
rnacentral:hammerhead_ribozyme from 1 species